CCGCCAGCCCCGGCCCGCCCCCUCCCCACCGCACACUGCGCUGCUCCGGACCCACUGUGCGUGUGACAGCGGCUGAUCUGCCCCUGGGCAGCGCGACC
rnacentral:pre_miRNA from 1 species